AGGGUGAGACCGUGAGAGGCUGAGAGCGAGUUGGGUCGUCCCCUUCCCCUCGAGCCCACUCUCCUCUCCUCCCCGGCGCCGCCAGCCAUCCUCCCCGUCCCGCGCCUUCUCCUCCCCACCGUCCGCUCCCUCCCAGGGAAGCAGCAGCCCCCGCCCGUCGCCCAAGAGCCGAAGCCCGCCACCAAGCAAUCGCUCCCUCUCUUCUUCCUCCUGCCUCACCUCUCUCUCCCCCCCUCCAAACCCUAGCCCCGCACCAGCCUCCCUGCCCCGCCGCCGUCAUCUCCUUCGCCCAGUCGGCCGCCGCCGCACCGCACGAGGUGGGAUGCGAGGAGGCAGGCGAGCAGGGGCUGGGGAGCAGCAGAGACGCGCGGGUGAGCAGGAUAGCUACGCGACGGAGCUGAACGGGACCACGGACGGAACUGCGUGCCUGUGCCGGGAGCGCGGGCAGACAACUGGAGACGACGAGGAGGGCUUCUACGGCGUACUCCAGCUCCGGCGAGGCUCCGGUAAGUCCCUCCACUCAUCGACAUCCCAUCCUCUCUUCCUCACCCCGUCCUAUCUCCCUCCCAGAUCCACCACGCAGCUCUGUAGCUCGCUCAGUCGCCCGGACGCCAACGCCAUGGAGGAUGCCACUCCACCCCUGCUCCGGUCCAUGCCCCCGACGCCAUGGAGGACGCCCCUCCACCCCUGCUCUAGCCUGAAGGUACUCCACCCCUGCUCCAUCCCAGUUUUGGUCAAAACUGAAUGUUGAAUGCUCCUGCUGCAUCAAGCUGUUGUUUCACAAUUUAAAACUGAGUUUUUAAAAUUCUGUUCUGUACUAUGGUCUCUCUAUUUUGUCAAUCUGUUGUAAGCAUUUAUGUUAUGGAGUAAGUUUUAAACAAAUUCAGUAGAGUUCCAAACCAUUAAGUUCUGAACCAUUGCAGUAAGUUUUAAACAAAUUCAGUAGAGUUUUAAACAAAUUACUAGAUCAUUAAGUUCUGAACCAUUGCAAAUUCUGAUUUUUUUCAUCGACGACAAUGGCUCCUCCUCUUCCAAGUCUAGCCCAUCGACGACGAUGGCUCUGAAAUGAACAUGUAACAAAAUGAACAUGUAUGCACAAGUGUCCCUCCUCCAAGUUUGCAGUGUGAUACAGUACAAGUCUGCAAGUGCUCUGCAAUUCUGUUUUUAUACCCUGUAUGGUGCCUAAGUUACAGUAAGUCAGUGGUUAACUGAACUACUGAAGAUUGUACUGAAGAUGCAUGAGUAACAAUAAUCUUUUGUUGUUUUGGAGGUGUUGAUUGCCAUUGUGCAAUUUGAUUCAGUUUUAAAAUAUUGCACGUCUUGGUUUGGUUCAGUUUGUACGUAUGUGCAAUCAAUUGAUUUGAAGUAGAGCUGGAUUCAUGGUGAGAAAUGGAUUUAAAAUUAGAGUUGGGUCCAUUGUUGUGACUUUCUUGUGCAGAAGAGUUGGAUCUUUUUACUCACAACAUUUCUUUUGCUCCGAUUCAGGUUCAUUCUUGUGUAUUAUUCUUUACUAUCAAGUCUGAAGUUAGUGGUUCUUGAGUGAGAUGCGUAAGCUACUACCGUCUGUUAUCUGCUCCAUCUGUGUGCUGGUGAACAAGUUAAUUAAGAUCUAAAUGUGUUGUCCCAGAUCCAGAUGGGUUGGUUUUGAGUUAUUGUUUGGGUUAGAAAAUUUUCAAACCAUGCAUCUGUUAACAUUUAGAGAAAACUACAUGUGUUUAUUUUGGGUUGUAGUUCAGAGAGCACUUCCAUGUUGCCGUGAAUGCUGGGUGCUGUUCUGACAUGCUUAUUUGUCUCAUUUUGCUUUGUUCUUUUUUGCUUAUAUGGUGAUCUCCUUUUUCCUUAUGUUAGCAGUGAGUUGUUUCUGUUUUUCUGGUUUUCCAUUGCUCCUAAAAUGUACAUCGAAAUCAGUGUGGCUGUAUUCAGAGAGAUGAGCUACUAUGUAGACAUUAUUUGUUUUUGUUAUGUACUUGGUUACUUAAUAAUCAUUCUUGAUAUUGAAAAGGGACAGAAAUAAGCUGAGUAUUGGACCUGACUGAGUAGUGUUUGCUGGUUAACGCAUCUAUGUUACUGGACCUGUUCUUUUUUCUUCCCACGGUUUGUCAUCUAAAAUGAAUUAACCUCGGAAGAGGAUUACUCUUCCUCGAUCUGGGCUAGGAAUUCGUUGCUAUGUGAUGCAUCGUUUGGUCCUACUCCAGUGUUGUUUUGCCUUCUUUGACUCAGCUCAUGUUGCGUUUGGCUUGGAGACUACUGAAAUGAAAAUGUGUUGGGGCGAUUAUGUGUUGCAGGUAAAGAAACAAAUUUUCAUUUCUUUUGGCUUGCUAUUAAUUGUCACUUGCGUACACAUGAUUAGGUUGGUCACGGAUUUGUGCAGCUAGCUAGCAUUGCUAAUAUUGUGUGUUGCUCCAGAAAUAGAUCAAGUGAUACUUUAAUUUUUGUUCGUCUAAUGAUUUUUUUGUUACUUCCUUUUGAGCGCUUAGCCAUGUCGUGUUUCACUCAUGUGGAACUCAAGAUUUGGUAGUAGCGCAUAACUCAUGAUUUGACAAACAGUUAAAUUCCUAUAUUUUAGUAUAUCUUAUUAUCUUUCUUAUUUCUGUUCCUGAACUGAACUUCACCAUUUUCUACAAAAUUAUAAGAGCAAUGAUGGUUUGGACAAAUGAUUAUGGUUGCUUAUUUAUUUUCUUGGUGUUCGAUUACUAAUGUAGAGAAAUAUAAUUAUAUGAUUUUACCAUUAUUAUCAGAUGAGGAAGUGAUAGGUUCGUAAAAUGACAAUAGUUACCUAUCUCUCAUCUCUACUGUAUUCAUGUAAAUGCCCAUGUCUUUUUCCAUUAUUUUCAGUUGAUAUGUUCUUCACUGGACACAAAUCAUUCUUACUAUACUAUCAGAUAUUAAUAGCACAUGCUCUUUUGAGGGAAAUGGGGAUGUCACUAUCUUUUGGUCUUCUGCCCAGAAAUCUUUAGACAUUACUCUGUUCCAUACACUAAGAAGUUUGAAGUGUGCUGGUUGCCACUCGCGCUGCUGCUCUGCUUGGAGGCGUCGUCGUCGACUGGAGGAGCGCCAAAUCGUUGUCCUCGAGUUCGUGCACUUCAGGAAGAAGACGGCUCGAGGUGAAACGUCACGCAUCCGUCGUGCGGAGGUAGAGCAGCUCUAGAGGGACCAAGGUCGAGGUAGCCACUGCUCCUGUCGAGGCUAGCCUGCCGUAGGGACGAAUCAGGUCCCUAGACCCUUAUGAGCCCUAAUUUUCAUGGAGCAAGGUGCAUCUUGCCGCUUUUGCUUUUGGCAGAUUAGUUGUGUCACUUACUGAUGCUCUUAUGGUACAGUACACUAUUAGGGUGUUGGGCCCAGAAAAAGGAAGAGUAAUCCUCUUCCAAGGUUAAUUUUGUGCCUACUUCUUUAUGUACAUAACUCAUGAUUUGACAAAUAGUUAAGUUCCCUAUAGUUUAGUAUUUCUUUCUCUUUCUCUUUCCUAUUUAUGGUUCUGGAACAAAACUUCCAUCCUUUUCUACAAAAUUAGAAGAGAAAAAAAAUGUUGACAGAUGAUUAUGAUUGCUUAUUUAUUUUCUUGGUGUUAGAUUACUAAUGUUGAGAACUAUAAUUUUUAUUGAUGGUCGCUCGAUGGCGCUGAGCACCAUGUGAGGUCAUUAUAAUUCAUAUAUGAGUCAACAUCUUCUUCCGCUGCUAAUUAGCAGUGUUUGGUCUAUUUAAUUUCAAACAUAUCUAUUAUUCGCCAAGGCUCCUGCCUACUUCCAUAAUGAUGCUAUCCCAUAAUUAGAUUGGUGUCUAAAACUGAGCCCCCUCUUAACUCCAUUUCUCUGCAGUAAAUGAAGCCCAUAGGUGGAGGGAUUUGGAUGAUCUGUAGUCAAAGGAUACCAUCAAGCAAGCGGACGCACAAGGAGGGUCGCCCCGGAGUAGAGGUAGAGGACGUUGCCAGCUGCAUCUCUCUCUGACCUAAAGCCCACCUUGGCAUGGAUGUGAUCAGCGUUGAUCCCCAACAUUGGCAAGCAUUGAUGGAAAUGUUCCUCGACACAAUGACGAACAUCAACGUAGGAACAACCUUUUUAUUUUAUUUUUUGUUGCCUCUACUGUAUUGUUAUUGCCACAAAGAUUUACCUGGACACAGAGCCAUCAUGAUGUGUUUAAAAAUGGUUACAUUAUCCUUUUUCUAACCUGACGGUGUUAGAAACAUCUUAGCAUUCAAGCAGGUUUAGUUCAUUGUUUAUUAAUUCCAAUUAUGUAAAAAAAUCACUGAUUAUCGCUUGACAGAAAAUAUUUUGAUAUGCCAU